GACGAACGCUGGCGGCGUGCUUAACACAUGCAAGUCGAACGGAAAGGCCCUUUUGGGGGUCCUCGAGUGGCGAACGGGUGAGUAACACGUGCGUAACCUGCCCUUGCUUUCGUGUUAACUUCAUGAAACUGGGGCUAAUACCGGCUAGGAAUCCUUGCUGCAUGGUGGGGGUUGGAAAGCUUGGGGGGUUUUGGAUGGAUUGGCGGCCUAUCAGCUUGUUGGUGGGGUAGUGGCUUACCUAGGCUUUGACGGGUAGCCGGCCUGAGAGGGCGACCGGCCACAUUGGGACUGAGAGACGGCCCAGACUCCUACGGGAGGAAACAGGGGGGAAUAUUGCACAAGGGGCGGAAGCCGGAUGCAGCAACGCCGCGGGCGGGAAGACGGCCUUCGGGUUGGAAAACGCUUUCAGCAGGGGCGAAGCUUGUGGUGACGGUACCUGCAGAAGAAGCACCGGCUAACUACGUG
rnacentral:rRNA from 1 species